AGAUUGUGCCAUAGAAUUCUCACAAAUUAAAUUUAUCUUCCAAGUUGAGGAAAAAGGACAUAACAAAGAGGAACCAGCAAGAGGGAACACAAGAAUACUGUCAAGAAGCAUUUCUUCAUCUACAGUAGUGUGGCUGGACAAAAUGACAUACCACUUCCAGUAGAAUCCAUGCAGCAUCAACAGUGUAUUCAGCCAAGACUCAGACUGCAUUUCAGAUCCAAACCUGGGAGGGAGGAAGUCUGUUGUUCUCUGAACCUUGACCAGUUGGGGACUCUGUUGUUAAUUACCAUCUACAGAAGAAAGAACAUUCACUGAUGGGAACUGAGUGAUUCACUUCUCUAGUAGUAUAAUGAUAAGCAACUAUAAAUAGAUCUGAUACGAUGCCAUUUAGC
ensembl:antisense Gm44188 predicted gene, 44188